rnacentral:lncRNA from 1 species
UAUUUCUAUAAUUCGAUUCUGCAGUGGGUAAAACUAGCCAUAGUGGUUUGUUUCUGUUUCGAAAGUCCUCAUUGUUUGACUCAUAAAUAACACAUAAAAACUGACUUUGGUUGAUUGCUAAGUCCAUUAUGCAAAAUAUACUCAUCUUCUACUCUGUAUUCUUUAUCCAAAGUGUGUUUGAUGGAUGAUAUAUGAACUGGAUUUGAAAUCAGGAAGCUUAGUAUUUACCUGUGAAUGCUCUGUAUUUUGGUGCUGCUGUGAGAUUAAGUUGGGUGGAAUCAAACUGAAAUAGAAGUUGCUUUUCAAUCAAUGCAGGUUGAACAAGAAAGAUGUGGAGGAAUGAAAGCUAAGUUUUACCUUGAAAUAUGGCAGAAGCUCAAAUGGUUCUCCUUCUUGCUUGUUGGUGUAAGGGAAGGGGAAAAAGAAAAAUGGGGUAUUUGUUGGCUGAAGUUAAGGGAUUGAACUGCUAUUGAUACUUGAGUGGCUAGGCUACCAUGAGAGCUUGAAAAGGUGGAGGAUGCAUAGGAAGCGGCUGAUUGACGCCAGCCUGUACCUUAGCCUUAGGUAUGGCCUUGAGUGCAUUGGGGUUGCAGAGAAAGGAAGUGUAGCUACUGUUGUAGCAGUAGCAGUUGUACACACGUUUUCUCCUUCUGCCAUUUUCUUUUAUUCUAAAUGAUGUAAUAGGGUAGGUUGUAAAAAGUGAUAUAUAUGAUGAAUAAAACCCCCCGUCUUGGUAAAAUUAUAUUUGUAAAUCUAAUUCCGGGUCUGCUAAAUGGUUCUGUCUAUCCUAGGCUGCUGCGUAGAAAGCACUGCCGUGGAUCUUUCAACACGUCACUACUCACCAACCCAUU